GACGAACGCUGGCGGCGUGCCUAAUACAUGCAAGUUGAGCGCUGAAGGUUGGUACUUGUACCGACUGGCUGAGCAGCGAACGGGUGAGUAACGCGUGGGGAAUCUGCCUUUGAGCGGGGGACAACAUUUGGAAACGAAUGCUAAUACCGCAUAAAAACUUUAAACACAAGUUUUAAGUUUGAAAGAUGCAAUUGCAUCACUCAAAGAUGAUCCCGCGUUGUAUUAGCUAGUUGGUGGGGUAAAGGCUCACCAAGGCGAUGAUACAUAGCCGACCUGAGAGGGUGGUCGGCCACAUUGGGACUGAGACACGGCCCAAACUCCUACGGGAGGCAGCAGUAGGGAAUCUUCGGCAAUGGACGAAAGUCUGACCGAGCAACGCCGCGUGAGGGAAGAAGGUUUUCGGAGCGUAAAACUCUGUUGGUAGAGAAGAACGUUGGUGAGAGUGGAAAGCUCAUCAAGUGACGGUAACUACACAGAAAGGGACGGCUAACUACGUG
rnacentral:rRNA from 1 species